rnacentral:rRNA from 1 species
GAUGAACGCUGGCGGCGUGCUUAACACAUGCAAGUCGAACGAAGCACCUUAUUCUGAUUUCUUCGGAAUGAAAAAUUUGGUGACUGAGUGGCGGACGGGUGGGUAACGCGUGGGUAACCUGCCUCAUACAGGGGGAUAACAGUUAGAAAUGACUGCUAAUACCGCAUAAGACCACAGCACCGCAUGGUGCAGGGGUAAAAACUCCGGUGGUAUGAGAUGGACCCGCGUCUGAUUAGGUAGUUGGUGGGGUAACGGCCUACCAAGCCGACGAUCAGUAGCCGACCUGAGAGGGUGACCGGCCACAUUGGGACUGAGACACGGCCCAAACUCCUACGGGAGGCAGCAGUGGGGAAUAUUGCACAAUGGGGGAAACCCUGAUGCAGCGACGCCGCGUGAGCGAUGAAGUAUUUCGGUAUGUAAAGCUCUAUCAGCAGGGAAGAAGAAAUGACGGUACCUGACUAAGAAGCACCGGCUAAAUACGUGCCAGCCGCCGCAGUAA